rnacentral:rRNA from 1 species
GUCUAUGGCCAUGCCUGAACAAGCCCGAUCCCAUCCAAUCUUGGAAGCUAAGCAGAGUCAGACCUGGUUAGUACUUGGAUGGGAGACCACCUAGGAAGACCAGGUGCUGUAGGCA